rnacentral:ribozyme from 1 species
UUCAUAGUUGCUCUGCUAAUUGGGUAAGAUUUGAAACCUCUUGAUGGUUACACAGGCUCUUCUACCUUACUCCUACUUGUACCAACGUAUAUCCAAACCAAAAUACACGGCCGAGUUCCAAGACCUUGGGCGGAUGGUGGUACAGUGCAAAACAGAAAAGG